AUUGAACGCUGGCGGCAGGCCUAACACAUGCAAGUCGAGCGGAUGAGGGUAGCUUGCUACCUGAUUCAGCGGCGGACGGGUGAGUAAUGCCUAGGAAUCUGCCCGAUAGUGGGGGACAACGUUUCGAAAGGAACGCUAAUACCGCAUACGUCCUACGGGAGAAAGUGGGGGAUCUUCGGACCCAACGCUAUCGGAUGAGCCUAGGUCGGAUUAGCUAGUUGGUGAGGUAAUGGCUCACCAAGGCUACGAUCCGUAACCGGGCUGAGAGGAUGAUCAGUCACACUGGAACUGAGACACGGUCCAGACUCCUACGGGAGGCAGCAGUGGGGAAUAUUGGACAAUGGGCGAAAGCCUGAUCCAGCCAUGCCGCGUGUGUGAAGAAGGUCUUCGGAUUGUAAAGCACUUUAAGUUGGGAGGAAGGGCUGUAGGCUAAUAUCCUGCAGUUUUGACGUUACCAACAGAAUAAGCACCGGCUAACUUCGUGCCAGCCGCCGCUGUAA
rnacentral:rRNA from 1 species